AUUGAACGCUGGCGGAAUGCUUUACACAUGCAAGUCGAGCGGCAGCGCGGGGCAACCUGGCGGCGAGCGGCGAACGGGUGAGUAAUACAUCGGAACAUACCCAGUCGUGGGGGAUAACACAGCGAAAGUUGUGCUAAUACCGCAUACGUCCUGAGGGAGAAAGCGGGGGAUCGCAAGACCUCGCGCGAUUGGAGUGGCCGAUGGCGGAUUAGCUAGUUGGUGAGGUAAAGGCUCACCAAGGCGACGAUCCGUAGCUGGUCUGAGAGGACGACCAGCCACACUGGAACUGAGACACGGUCCAGACUCCUACGGAGGCAGCAGUGGGGAAUUUUGGGACAAUGGGGGCAACCCUGAUCCAGCCAUUCCGCGUGAGUGAAGAAGGCCUUCGGGUUGUAAGACUCUUUCGGUCAGGAACGAAACGGUUUAGCCUAUACGGUGAGCUAAUGACGGUACCUCGAAGAAGAAGCACCGGCUAACUACGUGCCAGCAG
rnacentral:rRNA from 1 species